AACAAUAAGGGGGCAGCAUAGAAGUAGCAUACUUGGGUGGCGACCGGCGCACGGAUGCGUGACGCGUAUCCAACCUUCCCGUUUUCUUGCAUGGCCUUCCGAAAGGGAGAUUAGAACAUGAUGGUGGUUGUUUCCGCAUGUUAUUUGAACUAAAGAUUUAUCGGUAACGGAUGGGGAUGCGUGACAUUAGAUAGAUGGCGGGGUAACGGCCCACCUAGACUACGAUGUCUAGGGGUUCUGAGAGGAAGGUCCCCCACACUGGAACUGAGACACGGUCCAGACUCCUACGGGAGGCAGCAGUGAGGAAUAUUGGUCAAUGGUCGGAAGACUGAACCAGCCAAGUAGCGUGAAGGAUGAAGGUUCUAUGGAUUGUAAACUUCUUUUAUACGGGAAUAAAACCCCCCACGUGUGGGAGCUUGUAUGUACCGUAUGAAUAAGCAUCGGCUAACUCCGUGCCAGCAGCCGCGGUAAUACGGAGGAUGCGAGCGUUAUCCGGAUUUAUUGGGUUUAAAGGGAGCGUAGACGGGAUGUUAAGUCAGUUGUGAAAGGCUGCGGCUCAACCGCAGCACUGCAGUUGAUACUGGUUUCCUUGAUUGCGGUUGAGGUAUGUGGAAUUCUUGGUGUAGCGGUGAAAUGCUUAGAUAUCACGAAGAACUCCGAUUGAGGG
rnacentral:rRNA from 1 species